UAGUCAUAUGCUUGUCUCAGAGAUUAAGCCAUGCAUGUCUAAGUACAUACCUUGAAACGGUGAAACCGCGAAUGGCUCAUUAAAUCAGCUAUGGUUCCUUAGAUCAUACCUACUACAUGGAUAACUGUAGUAAUUCUAGAGCUAAUACAUGCCACUAUGCCCUGACCCGCGAGGGAACGGGUGCAUUUAUUAGAACAGAACCAACCGUGUGUGGCUUGCCAUACCGUUGAAUCUGUGAUGACUCUGGAUAACUUCACUGAUCGCAGUCGGCCUUGUGUCGGCGACGGAUCUUUCAAAUGUCUGCCCUAUCAAUUGACGAUGGUAGGUGACCUGCCUACCAUGGUGAUAACGGGUAACGGGGAAUCAGGGUUCGAUUCCGGAGAGGGAGCCUGAGAAACGGCUACCACUUCCAAGGAAGGCAGCAGGCACGCAAAUUACCCAAUCCCGGCACGGGGAGGUAGUGACGAAAAAUACGGAUACGGAACUCAAUUGAGGCUCCGUAAUUCGAAUGAGUACAAUUUAAAUCCUUUAACGAGGAUCAACUGGAGGGCAAGUCUGGUGCCAGCAGCCGCGGUAACUCCAGCUCCAGAAGCGUAUAUUAAAGUUGUUGCAGUUAAAAAGCUCGUAGUUGGAUCUGGGUUGCAUCGUUGCAGUCGUUGGUUGCAUGCUUGAUAUGGUUUCGUCCGAUCAGUGUGUGGCUCGAUGUCGUGAUGGUGCAUCCUUUCUGCCGUGUCUGUUUCGACAGGUGUUGUUUGUUCCCGAUGGUUCGUCCUGAGGGUUCAUCAGCAUGCUUCUUGAUGCCUUUGACCGGGUGUCAGAUGCGGACGGCACGUUUACUUUGAACAAAUUUGAGUGCUCAAAGCAGGCCUAUGCGCCUGAAAAGUCUUGCAUGGAAUAAUGGAAUAGGACUUCGGUUCUAUUUUGUUGGUUUUCGGAUCCGAAGUAAUGGUUAAGAGGGACAGACGGGGGCAUUUGUAUGGCGGUGUUAGAGGUGAAAUUCUUGGAUCGCCGCCAGACAAACUACAGCGAAAGCAUUUGCCAAGGAUGUUUUCAUUGAUCUGGAGCGAAAGUCAGAGGUUCGAAGACGAUCAGAUACCGUCCUAGUUCUGACCAUAAACGAUGCCAACUGACGAUCCGUGGUGGCUCAUCUAUUGACCGCACGGGCAGUCCCCGGGAAACCUUUAAGUCUUUGGGCUCCGGGGGAAGUAUGGUUGCAAAGCUGAAACUUAAAGGAAUUGACGGAAGGGCACCACCAGGAGUGGAGCCUGCGGCUUAAUUCGACUCAACACGGGAAAACUCACCCGGCCCGGACACUGUGAGGAUUGACAGAUUGAUAGCUCUUUCUUGAUUCGGUGGUUGGUGGUGCAUGGCCGUUCUUAGUUGGUGGAGCGAUUUGUCUGGUUAAUUCCGAUAACGAACGAGACUUUGGCCUGCUAAAUAGUUCGUUAGCUCCCUGUAUUCGUGCAGAUGGCGGCUUUGUUUGCCCUUUCGGGGGUGACGAGGUCGUUCAUCGGCGUUUACUGCGCUGGCGUAAACUUCUUAGAGGGACAAGCGGCGUGACAGUCGCACGAAAAUGAGCAAUAACAGGUCUGUGAUGCCCUUAGAUGUCCGGGGCCGCACGUGCGCUACAAUGACGGUUUCAGUGAGUUUGGGAACCUGGCCCGAAAGGGUUGGGCAAACUGAGUCAUCACCGUCGUGACUGGGAUCGGGGCUUGCAAUUGUUCCCCGUGAACGAGGAAUUCCUGGUAAGUGCAAGUCAUAAGCUUGCGCUGAUUACGUCCCUGCCCUUUGUACACACCGCCCGUCGCUACUACCGAUUGAAUGGUUUAGCAAGGUCCUCGGAUUGAUGCCAUUGUAGUUGCUCCGGCAGCUCGACCGGCGUUGAAAAGACGACCGAACUUGAUCAUUUAGAGGAAGUAAAAGUCGUAACAAGGUUUCCGU
rnacentral:rRNA from 1 species